CAUGUGGUGUAGACCCCUCCCCCAUGUCAGAGAGCAGGGCCACUGAAACAAAGCGGGUGCCUGUUCCUGGAAAUCUAGCAGCCCUCCAGUCUGACAGCAACCUCGGCCUCCUGCCAUUUCAGCAAAGACUCUGUGUGAGUACCCAGGAAGGGGAGCGGAGAGGAGCACUCCCGUGUUGGUGAAGGUCCGUCUGCCGAGCGAAGGUUCGCCGGUGGGGCCGAGACGCGCUGUGGGCGGGGGCCAGCAAGAAGCCAACAGGCCUCUCUGGCAGGCUGGAGACCUGGGAAGUCUUUCCAGAGAAGAAAACGGAGAAAAUGAUUUGCCUUACAGCUGCCAGCCUCACAGAUGCCGGACCGUCACCUGGGAGCAGCCCAGGCGCCUGCUCGACCGGUGCCCAACCAGGAGAAUCCUCCGCUGACUCCUCCUCCCCAGCCUCCCUUCGGAAGAGUGCCUGACCCCACCUGUGGAUGAGGUGGGGGGAAGGGCACCUGUUCAGCACAAACAGGCACUACCUACAGCGAGAAGACUCCUAUCACAUCCUGGGCUCUGGCUGAGGGCAGUGCGGUCCCCACACCCAACAGAACUGAAACCUCACCCUGUUCCUGGGAAGAGUCAGGGACAAGGCCGGGCAUGUUCCAGCAAGACAGAGUCUGGGGGGUGACUGGGCUGCAGAGGGAGGCUGGAGGGAGCUGGCCUUCCCCCACCCCCCCAGUAGCAGCCUCCCCCAGC